UCUAGAACUCAAGAUAUGAGCUGAAAACCAAACAAUGUUUGAGCUGCAGGACAGGUUCUGACUUCUCCGUUGUUGCUAAGAUUUGAACUUGAAAAUGGCAGAAUUAGGUCUAUGUCUUAUCUUUCCAUCCAUAUAAAGUGGACCUAAAUCCGAGUUCUACA
rfam:Populus trichocarpa scaffold_1_contig_591, whole genome shotgun sequence.